GGCUAUUUUGGCAGAUUAUAUGCGUUGGAUUUAGGAUCCUAUUAAAUAGAGUAAUUCUAUAGAUAGC
rnacentral:tRNA from 1 species